GAUUAUCCCCUAAAAACUUAAAACCUUUUUUUUAAAACUCUCUCAAAUCCCUUUUCCCAGUCGAAUGGGUUUGGCCGGCGUUUGCCUUAUCGCCGCUGCAGCUGGUGUUGUGAAAAUAGGCUUUUUAGCCUCGCCUUAAAAUGCCUUUAAAGACUAAGCCCCCAAAUCCCGACAUAGGGCUUGAUACUCUUUUAGAGCCGAUCACGACGGCGAUGGCGUCGCAACCCAGGGAAAUCAAGUAAGUCUCUCCUUUUUCCCUUUUUAGUUUCGUAUCAAAAUGAAAGAAAAUAAAGAAAAAAAAAUAAGAGAAACCCCAAAAAAAUGAAAAUCACCUUUAGCAAAUACUGUUUUUGUUUCUUGAUUGAUUUGUGUGUCCUUUUACACUGAUUAUCUCUGUAGCCUAAUUUUUAGUGGUGUCAGAACAGUGAUUUGAGAUCACUAAAUCCGACAAAUGAGUAAGAAAUAUUAUUAAUUUAGUGAGUAUAAGUUAAAUGUGAAGUUAGGGAAAAAAAUUUUAAAUAGUGAAUAGCGUACUAAAAAUAAAUAUUAAAAUAAUUAGAAUCGAAAAACGAGGUAUUAAGACCUCGGGAAUUUUAAAUCGAGCCAUAAAUAUUUUUAUGAAUAGUUAUGGAGCGUUAAUAAGUUAGUAUUAAAGUUCCGUCAAGAAAUUUUAAAGUUCUGAUAGUUAAUUGAACAAAAAGGACUAAAUUGUAUCAAAUGCAAAAUUGUGAGAAAUGAUUAAAUAGCUUAAAUGAUAAAAGAAAGAGGGUUUAAAAGGCAAAUAGACCCAAGGUCUCUUUGGGCUGGACGGCAAGGCAAGAAAUCAGCAAGAAAAUAAGGAGAAUUAAGGGCAAAAUUGGAAAAUUGCAAAAUUUACUUAAUAAAGCUAGGACUAAAGUGGAAUUAUCUAGAUUUCUCUUUAUUUUUCUGCAUUCUCAUCAGCAAAAACACCAUGGAAGAGUUCCUUCAAGCUGGUUUUUCAUAUUUUUACUUCAAGUAAGUUCAAUUCUUGAUUAUUUCUUGAAAUUUUUGUGUUUUUGUGACUUUUACAACUAGGUCCACUUGUUGAAUUCAUUAGUUUUUAAUUCUAUGAAAGAAAUUGAAAGUUGCUAUGAAUAUGUGCUGGAACUAUAUGAUGAUUUGGCAUGGAAUUAGAGCUUUAAAUUGUUUAUAUGCUGAUUUUAUUGAAAGAAUUGAAUAGAAAGUGAAUGUUUAGGACCUAAUUGUAAAAGAGUUUGAAGCUAAAGUUUCAUGUGGAAAUUCUGAAUUUCAAUAGUUAUGAAAUAACUUCUAAUGUCUAGGAAAAGUAUUAAUUGAUAAAAUUAUCUUAAUUGAGGGGUUAAUUGAGUAAGGACUGAAUUGUAUGAAUUGUGAAAUUUGGGAAAAAAAUGGAAAUUAACACUUUGCACUAAAACUGUUUUGGACAGUAGCAGUAGUCUAGCUUUUAAAAAUCACCAAAAAUUUUAUAAAUGGAAUUAGAGGAUGAAUAAAAUAUGAAAUUAAAGCUUAUUGAGUCUAGUUUUUUAUAGAAGAAAUUAUGUAAGCAAUGGAAUUGUAAAUCAUGAGAUAUGAUAAAUUUUGUGAGAUAAGGUCAGAAUGAUUUCGGGUUCCCCUGUUCUGAAUUUGAAAAAUCAUCAAAAAUUGGAUAAAAACAAUUAGGGGCUUAAAUUUAUAUGUUUAUAAUCCUGAAUGAGUCUAUUUUCAAGAGAAACAAACAAGGACAUCAUUCAAAUUCUGUACGAGAAGAUAAUUAAUUUUUAGUGAAGAAGGGUCGGAACUGUCAGACAGCAGAAUAGGGGAGACUUCAAUGAAUAAACUGUAUUAAUUGGCCCAACCAAAAAUUAUGAAAUUUUUAUGGCAAUAAAACAUAUGAGUCUAAUUUCUGGGAAAAUUUAUGGAUCUUAAUUUCGAGUUCUUUAGCUCAAGAUAAAAAUGAUUUAGUGACUAUGACACGGAUGGACAGCUUGAAUAUUCACAUAAGUAAAUAGUGAAAAUUAUGGAUGAUGUUACUUACAAGUGUGUUAUUUAUACUAAGGAUGUGGAUGGAGAGGAGGAGGAGGAAAAGUAAAUAUAUAUAUAUAUGAAUGACUUGAUCACAUGCCCGAUUAUAAUUGAUAAAUGUUGAAUUAGAAAUGAUAUAAUGUUUUAUUUGGAAUAUUUAUUAUGAAAUUAUGAAUAUCGUUAUAAUACAAAAAUCGUACUUGUGAGUUUGUAUAACUAAAUUUUAGUGACCAUUUGUUAAUUUUAUGAAUUUCAUGAUGUGUUAUUUUAUAUGUAUUGAUGAUAAAAUCGCGAAUAAUGUAAAAACAUGAAAAUUGAAUAAAUGAUCAAAUUGAGCAUUACAAUUCAGUGACAAGAUGAAUUGAAGGAAAAGACCAAGAUUGGACCAUGGCAACAAGUGAUAAGUGAUAGCUUCGGCUACACUUAUCUGAUCAAUGACAAGUGAAAGUGAUAAGUGAUAGCUUCGGCUACACUUAUCUGAUCAAGGACAAAUGAAAGUGAUAAGUGAUAGCUUCAGCUACACUUAUCUGAUCAAGGACAAAUGGCAAGUAAAAAGUGGUAGCUUCGGCUACCUGAUCAAUGAAAAGUGGUAGCUUCGACUACCUGAUCAUCGGCUACUUGAUUAGUGAAAAAUGGUAGCUCCGGCUACCUGAUCAGUGAAUAGUGAUAGCUUCGGCUACAAGUGACAAGUGAUUUCUGUGUAAGACCAUAUCUGGGAUAAGACAUCGGUGUGAUAUGUGUAUAAAAUGUAAGACCAUAGCUGAGCUAUGGCAUUCUGGUAAAAAGACCAUAGCUAUGCUAUGGCAUCAGUGAUUGUCAGUGAAAUUCAGUGCAUACCGGUGCAGACCAAUUCCAUAAGAUGUUCACUAAUUUGAAAAAGUUUGGUAAGUAUUACAUGGAAUUAUGUGACAUAAGGAAAUACGAGUUGAUGAGACAUGAGCAUAAAACCCGAUUGAUGAAUGAGUUCAUUUGUGAUUAUAUAUUUCUACGCCUUGAGUGUAUUAUCCGUAUGAAUUGGUAUUCCAAAUGAGUUAAUGAGAAAACUUCUAGUAUGAAAUAAUCUGAGUUCGAAAUGAAAUAUCAUGAAAACGUACCUGAAAUACAUUGGUAUGUCUUGUAUAUGCUAUUUGAAUUCAUGAAUGUGGAAAGUAAAUGUAUGUGGAAAUAAGAGAUGAUGAUAUCUGUACAUGGAAUUUAUUGAUGAAUACGUACAUCCAAAUUUAUAUGAUAGAUUUUAGUGUACAUUGAAAUUGGGCUCAAUAAGUGAUUUGGCAAUUUAAAUCGUGAUUGGCAGGAAGAGUUAGUGAAUUGCAUAUUUAUGAAUUGUUACACGUAUUUGUCAGAAAUACGAGGAAGUGAUGGUAAUUGAUACAUGUAAAUUUGAGACUAUGAUAUAUAUAUAAAAACAUGGAAUAUGUUUGAUAAAUGUGUUCAUUUAUAACUACGGAAUUAUGUACCUCAUGUGUGUUAUUUGCAUAAAGAUGAUAUUUCAAAGACUUUAGUGAAUAAAGCUUAAAUACGAAAUAGUAUGAAAUCGAGACAAGUUGUUAUGAAAAUGUAUUUAAAUUAUCUAUAAGUGUUUCGUGCUUCUCGGUAAUGCCUCGUACUCUAUUCCAACGACAGAUACGGGUAGAGGUUGUUACAAUCUGUGGCUUUUUAUAGCCAAGUAAAAUAAAAAUAAAAAUUACAAAAAAAAUGAUUUUCUCUUCUUUUCUGUUAUUUCUCUGCAGUUGCUGUGUAUUUGUUGUGUCUUGUGGGUUUGUUGCAGGUACAGCUAACAGGUGUGCGUGGAGAAAUCAGAAGCUUCACCUUGCUUGGGCCCUGUGAGCCUAUCCCGAAGUCAAAGUGUUAGGGCGGAGGCCAUUGCUGCGGCGCGAGGAAGCUUCAGAAACCCUUAGGGUUUCUGAAAAAAUAGUCAUUGGCCCUUUUGGGUCAAUUUCUAUUUGGGCAAUUGGGCCUUAUGCAUUUGGAGUACUGGGUCCAUGACAGAAUUAGACCAUUGGGUCCAAAUAUUUGGGUGGGGGUUAGGCUAUUCGGGUUAGGUUUAAGGAUUAUUUUAAUUUGGUAUUUAAUUGGGUCGAAGUUGGGCUUGUUGUAAUGGACUUUGGACUAAUAAAUUUUCAUUUUGGUUUUAAAUUUA
rnacentral:lncRNA from 1 species